GCCCCAGUGGCCUAAUUGAUAAGGCACUAAGACAGGGAUUGUGGGUUCAAGUCCCAUCUGGGGUG
rnacentral:tRNA from 1 species